rnacentral:lncRNA from 1 species
ACUGGGAAGCCACCUUCUCCUGUGCAGGAAAAGGAAAGGAGCUGACAGACUCAACACAACAAGCUUCUCUGACCAGCAACAGCAUGGGAGGACUAAAAACCCAGGUGAGCAAUUGGCUAGCAAACUUCCACUUUAUAGAUACCCAGUCCAGGGAGAAAUAUUUAAGGCCAACUACUGAAGAAGACACUGAUAAACACACAGUAGCUGAGCCAUACUGGAGCAGUGGAUUUACACACAUACUCAAGCACUUUCCUAAAUAGAGAUGUUGCCUUAAAGCAUAAACCUGUUCACUAACUGAGACAAGAUGUGU